rnacentral:rRNA from 2 species
UACGGAGGAUCCAAGCGUUAUCCGGAAUCAUUGGGUUUAAAGGGUCCGUAGGCGGUUUAGUAAGUCAGUGGUGAAAGCCCAUCGCUCAACGGUGGAACGGCCAUUGAUACUGCUAGACUUGAAUUAUUAGGAAGUAACUAGAAUAUGUAGUGUAGCGGUGAAAUGCUUAGAGAUUACAUGGAAUACCAAUUGCGAAGGCAGGUUACUACUAGUUGAUUGACGCUGAUGGACGAAAGCGUGGGUAGCGAACAGG